rnacentral:rRNA from 2 species
AACGAACGCUGGCGGCAGGCUUAACACAUGCAAGUCGAGCGCCCCGCAAGGGGAGCGGCAGACGGGUGAGUAACGCGUGGGAAUCUACCCAUCUCUACGGAAUAACGCAUGGAAACGUGUGCUAAUACCGUAUACGUCCUUCGGGAGAAAGAUUUAUCGGAGAUGGAUGAGCCCGCGUUGGAUUAGCUAGUUGGUGGGGUAAAGGCCUACCAAGGCGAUGAUCCAUAGCUGGUCUGAGAGGAUGAUCAGCCACACUGGGACUGAGACACGGCUCAGACUCCUACGGGAGGCAGCAGUGGGGAAUAUUGGACAAUGGGCGCAAGCCUGAUCCAGCCAUGCCGCGUGAGUGAUGAAGGCCCUAGGGUUGUAAAGCCCUUUCACCGGUGAAGAUAAUGACGGUNACCGGAGAAGAAGCCCCGGCUAACUUCGUGCCAGCCGCCGCGGUAA